CUCUUUUUCAUUCUUUUUCCUUUUUGCUCCUUUGACUAAACAAUAUCAAAUGACCUCUCUCUGAGUUCACUAAUUCUUUCUUCUGCUUGACAAAAUCUGCUGCUGAAGCUCUGUAUUGAGGUUUUUGGUUUUAUUAUUAUAUUCUUGAGCUCCAGAAUUUCUGCAUGUUCUUUCUGAUAGUUUCUACCCCUUUGUUAAUAUUUCUAUCUUAUUCAUGUAUUAUUUUUCUGAUUUUGUUUAGUUGUCUGUUUUCUUGUAAUUAAUUGAGCUGCAAGAUAAUUGCAUUAAAUUAUUUGUCAGCCAAUUCACAGAUCUCAAUUUCCUUAGGGUCAUUUAACAGAGACUUGUUCUGCUGCUUUGACUGUAUCAUUGUUUCCUUAUUCUUCAUGGUCCUUGUAGCUUUGUGUUGGUGUUUGUGCAUUUGCAGAAAUAGCUACUUCUUCCACUCUUUAUAGACUGGCUCGGACAGAGGGAGACCUUCAUCCAUCAGCCUUGGGAGAUAUUCCGGGUGCUUCUCAAACCCCUUCUAUGGAUGUGUAUUUUCUGAACGAAUGCAUGGGAGUGGGAAGAAAAAGAAAAAACAAUUGUUCUCCUUGGUGUGUUGGAUCUUGGGCGGAUAAAGGAACUUCAACUCCUUCGGUGAGAUGGUAGCAGCAGAGAGGUCAGAGAGACCUUGAGGCUUUGUCUUCAGUUGAGCAUGUCAAAACACCAUAUUUUGAUGUUUCUGAGUCCCAACAUGGGAAGUAAGAAGUGUGUUCUACAUUUAGAAUAGAGAAAAAUGUAAUAAAAUUUAAGAAGUACCUACAUAUAUAAGCUACAAUUUUAUUAAAGUGCUG
rnacentral:lncRNA from 1 species